UACGGAGGGUGCGAGCGUUGGUCCGGAAUCACUGGGCGUAAAGGGCGCGUAGGCGGCGCGGGAAGUCCGUGGUGAAAGCCCGAGGCUCAACUUCGGGUCGGCCAUGGAUACUCCUGGGCUUGAGCACUGUAGAGGCAGGUGGAAUUCCGGGUGUAGCGGUGGAAUGCGUAGAGAUCCGGAAGAACACCGGUGGCGAAGGCGGCCUGCUGGGCAGUAGCUGACGCUGAGGCGCGACAGCGGUGGGGAGCAAACAGG
rnacentral:rRNA from 1 species